GACAGAGGUGCCGAGCGUUAGGCGGAAUCACUGGGCUUAAAGCGUGUGUAGGCGGCUCUGUAAGUACCUUGUGAAAUCCCACGGCUCAACCGUGGAACUGCUUGGUAUACUGCGGGUCUUGAGCCACCUAGGGGCAAGUGGAACAAACGGUGGAGCGGUGAAAUGCGUAGAUAUGCGGAGGAACACCGAUGGCGAAGGCAAUCCCCUGGGCCUGCACUGACGCUCAUGCACGAAAGCGUGGGGAGCAAACAGG
rnacentral:rRNA from 1 species